CCAGUGAGUGAGUGAGCAAAGUGGGCAGUGACAGUAGUGAGCAAAGUGAGCUAACAUCCUCUGGCUGUUGUCCAGCCUUUAUACUCCUUCAAGUCAUCCCAGACAAGA